AAAGAUGAAGUACCCUAAGUCUUGGAAAUUUAAGUUCAAAAAGAGUUCAUGGAGAAGAGUGUGGAUCGCAAUGCAAUACGUUGGUACAGGAGAAGAAGGCUGCUGCGGGACUGUCUUGGUUUGUGCAUCCUGCAACCAGGCUAUCUCUUUUGUUUGUUCUGGUCCUUGAUCUAGAAAGUCAAAUACAGUAUGCUUAUUGGAUGGUGGUG
rnacentral:lncRNA from 1 species